GUCUAAGUACAAGCCAAACUAAGGUGAAACCGCGGAUGGCUCAUUAAAUCACACCUAAUCUACUGGAAUGUUAGUCGGUUACGUGGAUAACUGAGGUAAUUCUUGAGCUAAUACAUGCGAAAAAAUCUCGACGCAAGAAGAGAUGCUUUUAUUAGAUCAAAACCAAACGGGCCGGUCGUUCUUGCAAAAGGCGGCCGUGACUGUUAAACACUUUUGAUGACUCUGAAUAACCUUGGGCUGAUCGCAUUGCCUUGUGCAGGCGACGUUUCCUUCGAAGGUGUGCCCUAUCAACUGUCGACUGUGAUAUAGACGCUCACAGUGGUUUUGACGGGUAACGGGGAAUCAGGGUUCGAUUCCGGAGAGGGAGCCUUAAAAACGGCUACCACAUCCAAGGAUAGCAGCAGGCACGCAAAUUACCCAAUGGUCGAAGACCGAGGUAGUGACGAAAAAUAACAAUACAAGACUCUUCCGAGGCCUUGUAAUUGGAAUGAGUACACUUUAAAACCGUUCCCGAGGAUCUAUUGGAGGGCAAGUCUGGUGCCAGCAGCCGCGGUAAUUCCAGCUCCAAUAGCGUAUAUUAAAGUUGUUGUGGUUAAAAAGCUCGUAGUUGGAUUUCGGCGAGCGUGGGCCGGUUCUCAUUGCUGAGACACUGGCGUCAUCUGCUCGUGUAUAAUCUUGCCAUGACCCGACUAGGUGAUCUUCAUCGAUUG
rnacentral:rRNA from 1 species